rnacentral:ncRNA from 1 species
UAACGGUAGAGGUCGCGUUGAUCAUUAGUAGAUCUUUUGAUGUGUCGGGCACAGAUGAAGAAGAUCGAAAGGGUGAUACGCCGAAGGAGCGAUUCCGCCGGGGAUCGGAUCCUGGGCAUACGAUCAAUAGUCGUAUGACUGUCAUCCGGAAACGGAUGGGGAGCUAUCAG